rnacentral:rRNA from 1 species
AACCUACGGGACGCAGCAGUGGGGAAUAUUGCGCAAUGGGGGCAACCCUGACGCAGCAACGCCGCGUGCGGGACGAAGGCCUUCGGGUUGUAAACCGCUUUCAGCAGGGAAGAACCAUGACGGUACCUGCAGAAGAAGCCCCGGCUAACUACGUGCCAGCAGCCGCGGUAAUACGUAGGGGGCAAGCGUUAUCCGGAUUUACUGGGUGUAAAGGGAGCGUAGACGGCAUUGCAAGUCUGAUGCGAAAGAUUGGGGCUCAACCCCAGGCCUGCAUUGGAAACUGUAAAGCUGGAGUACAGGAGAGG